AGACCUUGAAUGUGUCAGGCUUCAGGUUCACUUCCGACAUCUCUCCCGGGCGCCCGGAUCUGCAAGUAAUUUAACCUUGUUUUCAUAGAGCGCAAAGACGUUCCGCUUGUUUACACUGGAGACAAAUUUUCCUCAAUUGACGCAAUCCUAUUGAUGAAAUAAUGACUUUCUUCCUCAUUUAAAGAGAGCCUGCCUUCUGAGGAGCAACCCCUUGGUCAGGUGAUGACUAGGCCCAGAAGAAAUGAAUGGUUCAGGGUUUGUAUUCUGGAGCCUCGCCACAGAAAACCAUCUCCAAGGGAAGAGACUGACAGUUGUCUGACGGAGUGUCACACUCGCGGGAUCAUUCGUUCAGGAGUACCAGGAUUUACCGGGCAAUUCCUUCCACUGUGCUGCCUGUAUCGCGUGUUUCCUCCAUUUUGCUCCACACCCGGACAGCUCCACACCCCUGCACAUAAAUGCCAUUCUGAACUUUACUAUGUUGGGGAUAUACACCACUUUUCUUUUUGCUCGCAGAUGAGAGGCACCACGAUCGUGCUGCGACACAAGAGGGGAAGGGUGGGGUGUAGGCACAGCUGGGUCGCCUGUCUCUCUUGCCCCAGAUUCCCCAUAACUCCCUUUAGUUACAGUGGCCUGGCUUUCUUUGGCCUCUGGACAUGUGGUUCUCAAAUUUGGUCACGAUAUCCCACAACUGAGGGAAGGAGCUGGCCAAGUGAGGUCCAUAUCCUGACUUUCAUCUGUCUUGGUUCUUCCUUGGCUCCUGUAAUAUCAUGACUUUCUAUAGUUUCUCAUCUAGCUUUGGAACUGGUGUGUGUGUGUGUGUGUGUGUGUGUGUGUGUGUGUGUGUGUAGAUGUAUGUAGGGGCAGCACGGAGUCCCUUUCACAUGGGCCCAAAGGCAGCAGUUAAGGAGUAAGGGGCCAUUCAUUUUCCUAAAAGAGUAAAAACUAACCUCUCCAUAUAAAAAUGAGGCUUACUGUAGCACAGAAAGUUCUUGGUCUGAGCUCUACCCCUGCCAUAGAUACUUGCUAGCCCUCUGCCCUGAGCCCUGGCUUCCCCACUAGGAGCUGGCGCAUGCUCCAUAGGUCCUACUCUGCACUGGCGGUCCGUGCCUCCAUUUCUCUCGUUCCCGCAUGGCCCAGCAGGAGAAGAUUCACUGCGACUGGUGUAGACUGGAUCUCCUGCCCAGAACCAGAACCACUCACUGCCCACUCAUGUGGGCUCUCCGCUUCCACGUUUGCUGAGGCAAUAUUUUCCUAGUGUGUAUUUUAAAAAUCUUUUCAGUUGUGGUGCCCGUCUCCCAUUGGGAAAAUUAACUGCUUACAGAUGUGUGAAGCAGGCAGCGAAACCAUUGGGGUUUGGAUAUCACUUCAAAGGGGAGAGAAGGGAAGGAGGGCUGUCUGUCUCCCAGAUAGACAGCAAACUUCUUUUUUAAAAGUUUUUAAAAAUUAUUAUUGUACGUGUGUGGGUGUUUUGCCUGUGCUCUCGGCGCAUGCCUGGUGCCCGAGGCCAGGAGAGGGCACUGGAUCUCUUGAAAUUAGAGUUACAAGCAGUUGUAAGCCCCCACGUGGAUGCUGAGAGUUAAACUUGGGUCGGCUGGAAGAACAGCCAGUGCUCUUAACCACUGAGCCGUUUCUCCGGCCCUGACAGAAAAUUUCUUGACUUAUAAAAAAAAGUCCCAACGUGACUGCCAUUCAGAAAUUGAAGGGUGAGGACUGUCUGAAGGCUUGGGGAUGAAGCGGCUGUUUGCGGGAACAGCCAGCGAAUGCUCGUGAUGCAGGGGUACAUUUCUUCUCCAUCCUGUCUCAGGUGACACCUAACCCCUAAUUCAGUCAUGCUAGCUCUCCGCUCCCACUCAGCCUCACGGUCAGCUUCCGUUAGUCUGUGCGGUCAUUUCCCUUCGAGUCCAGGGUGACAGUCUGGUGCCCCAGCCUAGAAAUAGUACCCAGCAGACUCUGAGGCCUUGGGUUCCUGGGUUCCUGGGGAUGAUGGCUCUCUGACAUUCGUCCACCCCUCAUCCUAACUCUCCUACUUCGAUUUUGUCUGACCCUGGAGUGUCCACAGGUCCCCCAUGAGGCUUUCAUUCCUAGCUGUUACCCCAAAACCCGCACUUGGCACAGCAGAAAGAUACCCACGAAUAGAAAGGCAUGUGAUGGACCCCAGGAUCUUGCGCAUAAGUUUUCUUUUCUCUGUUUUUUUUUCAUUCUCAGCACCUCAACUCCCUCCCCACAGCAGGGUCACAUCCAUCCUGCCCUUCCUGUGGCAUCACGCAGGCGCGAAUGAGCAUGGGGCACGCGCAAGCACGUGGAGAGUGCGCAUGUGCUGGCGUUCGUGGUCAGACAAGGAUGGAGAACAAACUUUUCCCCAACGGGUGCCUCCCGAGGCCGGACAUUUUUCUUACCUAAAUCUGGGACGGCUUCUUUUCACCACAGCCGAAUGAGUUCAUUGGUCUGUUUCUUCCGUUUCUAGGUGCGAUGGCGCGGCUUUUGUCCCAUGAGAGCGACUCCGGGAAAUGAAAAGUUUGAGCAGAAGAACCUCAGAGGCUGACUCGAUUCUAGUGAAGUAAAAGAUCUACUUGAAACAGAAGGCGUAGGUCCCUGCGGUGCUGUCCUUUACACAGGAAUUUCUUGCAGCUUCAUACUGUUUGAGCUGAAUAUUGUGUCUUAGUUACUUUUCUAUCACCAUGAAAUAAACACCACGAACAAGGCAGAAGAAAAAGCUCAUGGGCGGCUUGCUUACAGUUCCAGAGGCAGAGAGUCUUGAGAAUCUGGGACCAUUAUGGUGGGGAGCAUUCAGGCAGGCAGGUAGGCGGGCAUGUUGCUUGAGUGUAGCUGAGAACUUAU